AGUUUGAUCAUGGCUCAGAUUGAACGCUGGCGGCAUGCCUUACACAUGCAAGUCGAACGGCAGCACGGGGGCAACCCUGGUGGCGAGUGGCGAACGGGUGAGUAACAUAUCGGAACAUACCCUAGAGUGGGGGAUAACGUAGCGAAAGUUACGCUAAUACCGCAUACGAUCUAAGGAUGAAAGUGGGGGAUCUUCGGACCUCAUGCUCAUGGAGUGGCCGAUAUCUGAUUAGCUAGUUGGUGAGGUAAAGGCUCACCAAGGCGACGAUCAGUAGCUGGUUUGAGAGAACGACCAGCCACACUGGAACUGAGACACGGUCCAGACUCCUACGGGAGGCAGCAGUGGGGGAAUUUUGGACAAUGGGGGCAACCCUGAUCCAGCAAUGCCGCGUGAGUGAAGAAGGCCUUCGGGUUGUAAAGCUCUUUUGUCAGGGAAGAAACGGUGAGUUCUAAUACAGCUUGCUAAUGACGGUACCUGAAGAAUAAGCACCGGCUAACUACGUG
rnacentral:rRNA from 1 species